rnacentral:rRNA from 1 species
UAGGGAAUAUUAGUAAUGGGCGAAAGCCUGAACUAGCAACGCCGCGUGUGCGAAGAAGGCCUUCGGGUCGUAAAGCACUUUUUGAGAGGAUGAGGAAGGACGGUACUCUCAGAAUAAGUCUCGGCUAACUACGUGCCAGCAGCCGCGGUAACACGUAGGAGGCAAACGUUAUCCGGAUUUACUGGGCGUAAAGCGCGUGUAGGUGGUUUGGUAAGUAUGGCGUGAAAGCUCCUGGCUCAACUGGGAGAGGACGUUCUAAACUGCCAAGCUUGAGGAUGGUAGAGGGAGGUGGAAUUCCGGGUGUAGCGGUGGAAUGCGCAGAUAUCCGGAGGAACACCAGUGGCGAAGGCGGCCUCCUGGACCACUCCUGACACUCAGACGCGAAAGCUAGGGUAGCAAACGGGAUUAGAGACCCCGGUAGUCCUAGCCCUAAACGAUGUAGA